AGAAAAGAAGAUAUAAGCAAACCCUAAUUCUCUCUCUUAUUCCUCUUCUACCUUCUUUCUUCACUUAGUCAUGACUGUGGCUGCUCUUCUUGUUGCAACCAUUCAAUGCUUUUAGGUCAGUCUUUGCCUUUUAUUCAUUUUCUCUCUUGUUUCUCUUCUUCCCACUCUUCCAAAUUGAAAUCAAACGAGAAAUUUCUAGGGUUUUUAAGUUUAUUUAUAUGUGAAACGCCAAACGAAUAUGAGAGACAGUGAGAUUAGGUGUACUGUUAUAACAAGGGCAACAUCGCCUGGUUCGCUAACAAAACCAGUUUUUUUCCUGGGUGUCAACCCCUCACUUUGGUGCCAUGGUUCUCUUCCUCGAUGGAAGAUGUUUUGUUUUUUUUUUUUGACAAAAGAUCUUUUGUUUUUCAUUCCUAAAAAAAUGAGUUUUUUUUUUUUUAUUAAUUGUAGUGAUGUUGAUGGUCAAUUUAGCUACUAUGGAGAAUCUACGUCAUUCAGCAGUGGAUAGGAGGCUCAUGAGAGCACAACUACAUUGUCGUAUAUGAAGACAUAGCAAGCAUCUAUAUCUCUUUGUGGCAAAAUUCUGACCCAAAAUGAAAAUCUUUGCAGAGUAAAGCGCUUCUACCAUUCUCAGCGUCAUCAAUAUUCCAACUCAAUAUAUAUAUAUAUAUAUGCAUGUAGAUGAGUGUGUUAUUUAUGAUUUUAUUGAGGGUUUUGUGGAUACUGAUUUGGGGUUAAAUGAAAAACUAUGCAAAGUAAAUCACUUUCGGCGGUGAAUAAGUUCCAGCUCAGAGAACCUCCAUCUAGUGCAUGUAUGGGAGUUGAUAAUGGCAUAACAAAGAAUGAUGUUGGCGUUUAUGGCAUCUAUGAGAGUGUCUAUGGUGGUCAUAAAGUUUGUUGAUAUGUUUUUUAUGGUUGGAGUUUGGGUAUUAUUAUGGUCAUCAAUCUUUUAAUCUAAGUUUUGUAUAUUUGUAUAAUGUAUUAUAUAUGUAAAUUUGUAAAGAUUUGAUUGUUCUAUAUUUGUAUAUAUAUAGUGUAUAUUGUAUAUAAUGUAAAUUUGUAUAGAUCCGAGUUUAAUGUAAAUUUAUUGAUAUAUAUUGGUGAUAUUAAGUGUA